GCACAACGCGAAGAACCUUACCAAGGCUUGACAUAUAGCAGAACGCUCUAGAAAUAGAGAACUCUUUGGACACUGUUAUACAGGUGGUGCAUGGUUGUCGUCAGCUCGUGUCGUGAGAUGUUCGGUUAAGUCCGGCAACGAGCGCAACCCUCGUCCUAUGUUGCCAGCGCGUUAUGGCGGGAACUCAUGGGAUACUGCCGUGGUCAACACGGAGGAAGGUGGGGAUGACGUCAAAUCAUCAUGCCCCUUAUGUCUUGGGCUUCACGCAUGCUACAAUGGCCGGUACAAAGGGCUGCGAUACCGCGAGGUGGAGCGAAUCCCAAAAAGCCGGUCUCAGUUCGGAUUGGGGUCUGCAACUCGACCCCAUGAAGUCGGAGUCGCUAGUAAUCGCAGAUCAGCAACGCUGCGGUGAAUACGUUCCCGGGUCUUGUACACACCG
rnacentral:rRNA from 1 species